rnacentral:rRNA from 1 species
AAUCAACGCUGGCGGCGCGCUUAACACAUGCAAGUCGAACGAGAAAGGGGAGCAAUCCCUGAGUAAAGUGGCAGACGGGUGAGUAACACGUGGGUCAUCCACUCCUUGGUAGGGGAUAACCCUGGGAAACCGGGGCUAAUACCGCAUAAGUCCGAGAGGAGAAAGGCGAAAGUCGCCGAGGAAGGAGCCCGCGGCCGAUUAGCUAGUUGGUAGGGUAAAGGCCUACCAAGGCUUUGAUCGGUAGCCGGCCUGAGAGGGCACACGGCCACACUGGCACUGAGACACGGGCCAGACUCCUACGGGAGGCAGCAGUGGGGAAUCUUGCACAAUGGGGGAAACCCUGAUGCAGCGACGCCGCGUGAGCGAUGAAGCCCUUCGGGUGUAAGACUCUUUCG